AUUCACUUCCUCAUUUAGUCUCCAACGGAACAGACAUGGAAAAACUUUAUAACCACCUAUUGUCUCUUCGACACACUUGAGAUUUGCUGUUCACACAGAGAAAGAGACCAGAUCGAGAAAAAAACAUUUGUGGGAUUUGGAUUGGUGGGUUUGCUGAAAUUAAAAACAAAUAGGUACGAGAUCAAAGGCAGGAACCAUGUUUAUUAAGGUUAAUAAGUCCUUUAUUUAACUGCUAAUUAUGCAUUUUGCAGGUGUGGGAUCUAAAGCAGGAACAAUGCUUAUUAAGGUUAAUAAGUCCUUUAAUAUACACUUAUUAACAGUUAAUGAGUUCUAUAUGUUAUCAAGGUCGAUAAAAUGUGAGACAAAAAAUAAACUUACUGUAAAUACAAUGUUAUGGGGGUGAAGCACAAUAACACACUUUAAGACAGCUCUUUUAAAAAACAUUUUUGGAUUUCCAAUAUCAGUUGCAUGCUUUGAUACACCCUCACCUGUCACCUUUGAUAAAGUAGAUCUACUAACUGACUCAACAUAAAGUAGGCCUACUAGCCAACUAAAUAUAAAGUUGGUCUAGUAACUGACUUAAUUUAAAGUGGUGCAACUAGUGGACUAAAUAUAAAGUAGGUCAACUAGCGGGCUAAAUAUAAAGUAGGUCAAUAAGCGGACUAAAUAUAAAGCAGGUAAACUAACUGACUUAAUAUAAAGUAGGUCAGCGGACUAAAUAUAAAGUAGGUCAACUAGCGGAAUAUAUAUAAAGUAGGUCUACUAACUGACUUAAUAUAAAGUAGGUCAACUAGUGGACUAAAUAUAAAGUAGGUCAACUAGCGGGCUAAAUAUAAAGUAGGUCAAUAAGCGGACUAAAUAUAAAGCAGGUCAACUAUCUGAAUUAAUAUAAAGUAGGUAAACUAGCGGACUAAAUAUAAAGUAGGCCUACUUGCGGACUAAAUAUAAAGUAGACCUACGAGAGGACUAAAUAUAAAGUAGGUCAACUAGUGGACUAAAUAAAAGGAGACCUGCUUGCGGACCACAUAUAAAGAAGGCCUACUAGUGGACUUUAUAUAAUGUAGGUCUACUAGUGGAUGUAAUAUGAAGUAGGCUUACUAGUGGACUAAAAAUGUAAGCUUACCUUCAUGUACCAGUUAACCGGAUCAACUGGUACAUUCGUUUAGCACGGUAGAAUUUAGCCAGUGAUUACGUGAAACCUCCCUUUAGCUAUAAUAUGUUUUUGUGGAAUUUUUAUGGUGUGGUUAUAAAAAGAUAAGGAUAAGGAUAAGGAUUUUCUGAAAUAGGAAUGUACGUUUUCUAAACAUUAUCACAGAAUAUUCACACCUGUAAAUAUUUUUAUGGUAGGCCAAUUAUGUUCCUAGCAUGUCAUGCGUUAACUUUGUAGGUUAAGUUUAUAUGCAUAUAAGAAGUCCAUGUUUUGAUGAAAACUGAAAGCUAGAGAAUGCUAUACAAUGAAAUGACAGCAUUUCAAUACCACAUUGUAAUGACCGCUGUCUGUGUAUCUUUGUAUGUCUGUUUGAC
ensembl:lncRNA